rnacentral:rRNA from 1 species
GGGAAACCGGGGCUAAUACCGAAUAUUGAACAUAAGCGGCAUCGCUGAGUUUUGAAAGAAUUUCGGUGGAGGAUGAGCUCGCGGCCUAUCAGCUUGUUGGUGAGGUAACGGCUCACCAAGGCCGACGACGGGUAACCGGCCUGAGAGGGUGACCGGUCACACUGGGACUGAGACACGGCCCAGACUCUACGGGAGGCAGCAGUGGGGGAAUAUUGCACAAUGGGCGCAAGCCUGAUGCAGCAACGCCGCGUGAGGGAUGAAGGCCUUCCGGGUUGUAAACCUCUUUUAGCAGGGAAGAAGCGAAAGUGACGGUACCUGCAGAAAAGCACCGGCUAACUACGUG